ensembl:lncRNA
AUGUAUCAUCCACUGCAAGACUAUUUCAUAGCUCCUGAAGCCCCUAAGGCUGGUGACAUGAUCACACCAGUGAAAACCAUACCUAAAGCAGCUCACAGUUGGACAACUGGAUCAGGCAGAAAGAUUUCAAACCGAGAUGUGUUGGUGAUGAACUCCACUGCACAGAAUGCUGAAGAAAAUAGCCCAAAUAUCCCAUGUGAGCUUAGCAGCAUCAAUGCCAUGGCGGAGGUCGCCCCUCUAGACAAAGUGGACCUGAUGCUGAAGAGGUGCAGCGAGACGCCGGCAAAGAUUUUUGCAAGAAUGAAGGCAAAAGUUCAGAGACAAUAUUCUGCAGGGCAUGGGGCAGCCUCUGAUCAUAUAAGCAACCAAGAGAUCUGUGACAGUGUCCCCUCGAACCCUGUAACCCAGACCUCUCAUAAGAGUAACACUGACCAGGAGACAUAUGUGUUAGCGCUCUCACCUCCGCAGUCACUGAGAGGAGAUGCACAAGCUCGAGAAAUGGACUUACCACAGGAUAGCCUUUCCAUCAAUCUUCAUAAAGUGCCUGGAAGACAACACGAAACCUUUAAUACGGCAUCAGAGUCAUUUAUUGAGCCCUAUGUUUUACUUGAGAAAAUACCUGGGGAGAUGUUAUCAGAGAUGAGAAAAAGGCGAACGCAAAUGCCAGAGAAUCUUUAUAACAGAAAAAGAGAGACUCAUAUGCUGAUGAACAAGGUGGUUCCUGAUGAGAUAUUAGCCCAGCUUCAGCGGAAACCCAUCACCUACGUCAGCAGUUCAAAAGAUAUCAGAAAUAAAGGUGGCGUUGUAUUUGGUGAGAGGAGCAUUGCAGUAGAAAAGGACAGUGAGGAAGACCUCCAAAUAGACACGUCCAGUAGCCCUGAGUCUGAUCCGUUUGGUCAGUCGGACUGCACAGAAGUGGUCCCUGUACCCCCUCAGCCUCCUCAUAAUCUACUGGAUGAUCCUCUCCUGCAGCUCUCUCCUCGGGUGUUGAUCCCACGAAAGACAGCGUCUGUGUUUCAGUCAAAACAACAAGCUAAACAAGCAGACGAUGAAGGAACCAAUGUAAGUUAAAAAAUGUAGCAUUUCUUUCUUAAUGGUUUUUAAAAUCAUUAACAAAACGAAAAUGCAAAAAUGUGAUUUGGUGGUUUUAGAUUUUGUAAUAUUUUAUAGUUAGUACAUUGUUUUUGUAUUUUAGGUGAGGGGGAUUCAUUUAAAAGACUGGGUUUUGAAACUGCUCAACAAAGACCUUGUGGUUGAUGGUAUUCGCAUGUAAGAUAUUUGCUUUCUGCUUUUUUCCUAUUAGUCAAGUUAGUUUGAUUAGAUUUUUUUUUAAAUAUCUUAAAUAAUUGUCAUAGUGUCUGUCUGCACUAUAAUAUAAUGUAUAAUGUAUUAUAUUACAGCGUUAUGCUUUUUCAUUAAUCUUCCGUGAAGCUGUUUUAUGUGGCUCUAAAUGCUUUUGUUUGAUAUAUACAGAGAUACUAUGAUACCUUGGCACAGCAGUUUUAUCACUGAAAGAAUCUCAAGCAAUGUUCUCAAGACUUCAUCUGGCAGAACCUAUGUCCUCAUUGGGAAAAUGGCCAAACAUCCCAGUUCAUGUAAGAAAAUGCUUUUUAAAUCAAGUUGCGUUACUUUGAUUGUGUAUGUUUCAUUUGACAAUUUUUGUUUUAACGCUUACAGCAUUUCCAUCAUGGUUUUUGAAGAAGUUUCUUUUUGGGUUUCCAAAAAUGUGGAAGGAGUACCUGGAUCAGUUUUUGAGUGGUCAUAUGGGGUAAGUUGCCUCAAAUCUGUUAUUAUGCUGUUUAUCAAAUUAUAAAAAGAAACUAUUCUUGUUUUAGACUGCAGAAAAGUCAGAAGGACAACAGUGGUGUGAAACCUCCCAAAGCUAAAAAUCAACAGGCUGCUAAAAACUCAACAUGCAAACAUC